AGAGUGCGUAAUAGCUCACUAGUCGAGAGGUCCUGCGCCGAAAAUGUCCGGGGCUGAAACACGACACCGAAGCUUAGGAACAAAGAAACCAAGGUUUCUAUAUGUUGGUAGAGGAGCAUUGUUAGCGGAACGAAGCCAUACCGGAAGGAGUGGUGGACUGCUAAGAAGAGAGAAUGCCGGAAUGAGUAGCGAGAUUGAAGUGAGAAUCUUCAAGGCCGAAUAUCUAAGGUUUCCAGGGUAAAGCUGAUCUGCCCUGGGUAAGUCGGGACCUAAGGCGAGGUCGAAAGACGUAGCCGAUGGACAACAGGUUGAAAUUCCUGUACUGCGAUAUAUCAGAAAUGUGGGGACACAGAAGGAAAGUGUGAGCCGGGAAAGGAAAGACCGGUGCAAGCACAGGAGGAGAGAUACAGGCAAAUCCGUAUUUCAAUCCAAUGGUGUUACGCGGAGCGAACAAAAGUAGCGAAGCACACAGACCAUCUGUCGAGAAAAGCCGCUAUUGUGUAUACCGUACCCGUACCGUAAACCGACACAGGUGGAUGAGGAGAGAAUCCUAAGGCCGGCGGGAGAAGCAUUGUUAAGGAACUCGGCAAAAUGACCCCGUAACUUCGGGAGAAGGGGUGCUCCCGCAAGUGAGCCGCAGAGAACUGGCCCAAGCAACUGUUUAGCAAAAACACAGGUCUAUGCAAAACCGAAAGGUGAGGUAUAUGGGCUGACGCCUGCCCGGUGCUGGAAGGUUAAGAGGAGAGGUUAGCGCAAGCGAAGCUUUGAAUUUAAGCCCCAGUAAACGGCGGCCGUAACUAUAACGGUCCUAAGGUAGCGAAAUUCCUUGUCGGGUAAGUUCCGACCCGCACGAAAGGCGUAAUGAUUUGGGCACUGUCUCAACAACACACCCGGUGAAAUUGAAAUACCAGUGAAGAUGCUGGUUACCUGCGCCAGGACGGAAAGACCCCAUGGAGCUUUACUCCAGCUUGAUACUGGGAUUCGGUACUACCUGUACAGGAUAGGUGGGAGGCUUCGAUCACGGGACGCCAGUUUCGUGUGAGCCGCUGUUGGGAUACCACCCUUGUAGUACUGGAUUCCUAACCUACAGCCGUGAACCGGCUGGGGGACAAUGUCUGGCGGGGAGUUUGACUGGGGCGGUCGCCUCCGAAAGGGUAUCGGAGGCGCUCAAAGGUUCCCUCAGAAUGGUUGGAAACCAUUCGAAGAGUGCAAAGGCAGAAGGGAGCUUGACUGCGACACCGACGGGUGGAGCAGGUACGAAAGUAGGACUUAGUGAUCCGGUGGUAUAAAGUGGGAUUGCCAUCGCUCAACGGAUAAAAGCUACCCUGGGGAUAACAGGCUUAUCACUCCCAAGAGUUCACAUCGACGGAGUGGUUUGGCACCUCGAUGUCGGCUCAUCGCAUCCUGGGGCUGUAGUAGGUCCCAAGGGUUGGGCUGUUCGCCCAUUAAAGCGGUACGCGAGCUGGGUUCAGAACGUCGUGAGACAGUUCGGUCCCUAUCCGGCGUGGGCGUAGGAUAUUUGAGAGGAGCUGUCCUUAGUACGAGAGGACCGGGAUGGACGGACCGCUGGUGUAUCUGUUGUUGUACCAACAGCAUGGCAGAGUAGCCAAGUCCGGCAGGGAUAAACGCUGAAGGCAUCUAAGCGUGAAGCCCCCCUCAAGAUAAGAUAUCCCAUCAUAAGAGUAAGACCCCUUGAAGACUACAAGGUUGAUAGGCUUGGAGUGUAAUCGUGGCAACACGUUCAGCUGACAAGUACUAAUAGGUCGAGGGCUUAUCCU
rnacentral:rRNA from 1 species